UACGUAGGGUGCGAGCGUUACUCGGAUUGACUGGGCGUAAAGGGCGCGUAGGCGGUUUGUACAGUCAGACGUGAAAUUCCUGGGCUCAACCUGGGGGCUGCGUUUGAUACGUGCAGACUUGAGUUCGGUAGAGGUCUCGGGAAUUCCUGGUGUAGCGGUGAAAUGCGCAGAUAUCAGGAGGAACACCGGUGGCGAAGGCGGUUCUCUGGGCAUUACCUGACGCUGAGGAGCGAAAGUGUGGGGAGCGAACAGG
rnacentral:rRNA from 1 species